GUCACACCCCCAAACCUGAACGGCGGAAUCGUUCGAGGGCGGAGGACAUCAUAUGCAGUAUCAUAACAGUUCAUAGAAAGGAAAGUACACACCACCAUAAUAUAAAACAUAUUUGAAAAGUUUACAUGAUUGUAGGUGUUACAUGUUUGCAAAAGAAAUCAAAUAUAAAAUGGUGAUCCAAAAUAUGUUACUAACGCCAAUGCGUUAGUCUUCAGAAGUAGUUGCUACCUGGCUAGCGGUUUCCUGUGAAUACAAGUUAUUUCAAAGAAAAAGUGUCAACAUUUAAGUUGGUGAGUUCAUAAGUAGUGUUUUGAGAAGAUGUAUGCCAUUCGAAAGUGUUUGCAUGUUAUCCAGAAAAACCCUUAUUUUCUUAUAAAAGUAUGCAAUGCAUAUGAAUGUUCGUGAUGUAAAUUGCAACUAAUUGUACCGAGAAAAUCCCUUAUUUUCCUAUUAGUUGUUUGGUUUGUAUACAGGAAAAACCCUUAUUUCCCUGACAUAACUGGCAGUCUCUAAGACCGAAAACCGCAAGCAAGCGACGUGCUCGUAAGGUGUGGCAUAGUUUUAUNUUUUCCUAUUAGUGGUUUGGUUUGUAUACAGGAAAAACCCUUAUUUCCCUGACAUAACUGGCAGUCUCUAAGACCGAAAACCGCAAGCAAGCGACGUGCUCGAAAGGUGUGGCAUAGUUUUAUAUAAUAAAGCUAUACGAAGAUCGCAUUUGUUAGAUGAAGAAUAGUUUUAAUAGCUACUCUUUCAUAAAAGCAUAAUACCAUAAUAAUUGUAUAUCCGAUGAGUUUUAUAACCAUACUAAACAUAAUAUGCCUG
rnacentral:lncRNA from 1 species